GGACUGGACACACAGCCAGACACUGGACUGGACACACAACCGGACACACAACCGGACACACAACCGGACACUGGACUGGACACACAGCCGGACCCGAAGAGGCUGGACAGUGCCCGGGGAUCUCCUCAUCCAUCACCAUCCUCAGCCUGGGGGGAAUGGCGGGAAACGAGGGAGAAAAUGGCGGGAAACGAGGGAGAAAAUGGCGGGAAAACAGAGGGAGAAAAUGGCGGGAAUGUGAGGGAGAAAAUGGCGGGAAAAUGAGGGAGAAAAUGGCGGGAAAACGAGGGAGAAAAUGGCGGGGAAAUGAGGGAGAAAAUGGCGGGAAUGUGAGGGAGAAAAUGGCGGGGAAAUGAGGGAGAAAAUGGCGGGAACAUGAGGCAGAAAAUGGCGGGAAAAUUGGGGAAAGGGAGAAAAGGAGGGGAAAAACGGGAGAAGAGGCAAAAACCUGGGAGAAAGGAAGGAAACGAGGGAGAAACUGAAGGAAAACUUGGGAAAAACUGGGGAAAAACCGGGAAAAACCAGGAAAAACCGGGAAAAACUCGGGAAAAACUCGGGAAAACCCGGGAAAACCCGGGAAAAACUCGGGAAAAACUCGGGAAAAAACGGGAAAAACCCGGGAAAACCCGGGAAAAACUCGGGAAAAACUCGGGAAAACCCGGGAAAAAACGGGAAAAACCCGGGAAAACCCGGGAAAACGAGGAAAGGGGGGGAAAAUCCUUCCGGAACAUUCCCGGCAAAUCCGUGUCCAGGUGGGGCCGCCAUGAGGGCCGGGCUGCAGGAGGGCGACCGCAUCGUCAAGGUGAACGGGACGAUGGUGAGCAACAGCUCCCACCUGGAAGUGGUGAAGCUGAUCAAGUCCGGUGCCUACGUGGCCCUGACCCUGCUGGGAUCCCCCCCCGGAUCCCUGGGAAUUCCGGGAUCCCAGCAGGAGCCGGAGCCCCCGGGAGGUCCCCAAGGGCCCCCCCAGCUCAUCACCGAGCCCAGGCCCCUCCAGGUGAGCCCCAGUUCCAGAGGCAAUCCCAGAAUUCCAGAGGCAAUCCCAAAAUUCCCUCAGGGAAAUCCCAAAAUUCCAGAGGCAAUCCCAGAAUUCCAGAGGAAAUCCCAAAAUUCCAGAGGCAAUCCCGAAAUUCCAGAGGCAAUCCCGAAAUUCCAGAGGAAAUCCUGAAAUUCCAACAGGGAAAUCCCAAAAUUCCCUCAGGGAAAUCCCAGAAUUCCAGAGGCAAUCCCAGAAUUCCAGAGGAAAUCCCGAAAUUCCCUCAGGGAAAUCCCAAAAUUCCCUCAGGGAAAUCCCAAAAUUCCAGAGGCAAUCCCAGAAUUCCAGAGGCAAUCCCAGAAUUCCAGAGGCAAUCCCAGAAUUCCCUCAGAGGCAAUCCCGAAAUUCCCUCAGGGAAAUCCCAAAAUUCCCUCAGGUGACCCCAGAUCCUCCCCAGGAGAUCCCAAAAUUCCUUGAGGGGAUCCCAGCCCCCACCCCAGGCCAAUCCCACAUUCCCACAUUCCCAUUCCCAAUCCCACAUUCCCAUUCCCACAUUCCCAUUCCCAUUCCCACAUUCCCAAUCCCCGUUCCCAUUGUUCCCACAUUCCCAUUCCCAUUUUCCCAUUCCUAUUCCCGUUCCCAUUUUCCCCCAUUCCCAAUCCUAUUCCCAUCCCCCCAAUCCCAUUUUCCCCCAUUUCUAUCCCCAUUCCCACAUCCCCAUUCCCACAUUCCCAUUCCAUUCCCACAUCCUCAUUCCCAUUUUCCCAUUCCCAUUCCUGUUUUUCCAUCCCCAUUCCCCCAUUCCCAUUUUCCCAUUCCCAUCCCCAUUGCCAUUCCCAUUUUCCUGUCCCCAUUCCCAUCCCCAUUUUCGCUCAUUCCCAUUUCCCCAAUCCCAUUCCCAUUCCCAUUCCCAUUUUCCUGUUCCCGUUUUCCCAUUCCCAUUCCCACAUUCCCCCAUUCCCAUUUUCCCCAUUCCCAUUUUCCUGUCCCCAUUCCCAUUCCCGUUUUCCCCCAUUCCCGUUUUCCCCAGUUCCCAUUCCCGUUCCCCAUUCCCAUUUUCCCAUUCCCAUUCCCAUUUUCCUGUCCCCAUUCCCAGUUCCCAUUCCCCCAUUCCCAUUCCCCCAUUCCCAGUUCCCAUUCCCGUUUUCCCAUUCCCAUUCCCCCAUUCCCAUUUUCCCCCAUUCCCAGUUCCCGUUUUCCCGUUCCCAUUCCCCCAUUCCCAUUUUCCCAUUCCCAUUUUCCAGUUCCUGUUCCCAUUCCCAUUCCCCUAUUCCCAGUUUCCCGUUUUCCCAUUCCCAUUCCCAUUCCCAUUCCCAGUUCAUUCCCAGUUCAUUCCCAGUUCCCAUUCCCCCAUUCCCAUUCCCAUCCCCAUUCCCAUUCCCGUUCCCAUUCCCCCAUUCCCAGUUCCCAUUCCCAGUUUCCCAUUCCCCCAUUCCCAUU
ensembl:lncRNA